rnacentral:ncRNA from 2 species
GUCGCUUCAAUACGCGAACGUUCGCGCGUACAAUUCGCCCGAUACGAAGCGCGGAAGCCGGUGCAAUUCCGGCGCGGUCGCGCCACUGUAACCGGGGAAUCGAUGAUCCCGGAAGCCAGACCUGCCUUCGUACCCAUCCAUCA